UACGAAGGGGGCUAGCGUUGCUCGGAAUUACUGGGCGUAAAGCGCACGUAGGCGGAUUGUUAAGUCGGGGGUGAAAUCCUGGAGCUCAACUCCAGAACUGCCUUCGAUACUGGCGAUCUCGAGUUCGGGAGAGGUGAGUGGAACUGCGAGUGUAGAGGUGAAAUUCGUAGAUAUUCGCAAGAACACCGGUGGCGAAGGCGGCUCACUGGCCCGAUACUGACGCUGAGGUGCGAAAGCGUGGGGAGCAAACAGG
rnacentral:rRNA from 1 species